UUUAAAAAGCUAAAUAAAAAAUUGUGUCGGAUACCCCGAACUCAGAAUCAACGCAUUCAAUACAUACAAAUACAAUCUUAUUCAAUAUCAAACUAAUUAAAUAUGACAACAAAAGAAUCAAUAAUUUAAAAAAUUAACCUCAAAUUAGGACGCACGAGGUUAAGUAGAAAAGUCUGUGAGUUGCAAGAGGAGAGAAGUGUCGUAGUUAGUGGUACGCGCAUGGGAGCGGGUAAGAAGCGUGAUUCGCGCAUCGAUGACGUUAGGGAGGUUGCACGAUGGUAGGGAAACGGGUUUGCGCGGCAAGUCUGGGGGAGGGGGUCCACAUGAAGGUCAAAAGGGGUUUGUGUGGUGGUAGGGAAAAUGAGGUUCGUGCGGGGGUUGGGUGAGGGGGGUUGUUGGCGGUUGGGGGGCUGCUCGUGAAGGUCAGGGGCAUCUCGCGAAGGUUGGAUUGUAGUCUGCGGUUUCUGGCGGCGAAGGGCUCGUGUAGGUCGGGUAAUCGGUCGACAAGCGACUGGGCGCGAUGGUCAGCGAUAUGUGAGAUGGUCAGGCGAUAGUCCGAGUUCUUCUCGCGCGGUCUGAUGACGGUUUGGAUUUUGAUUGUAGAAAAGGAGAAAUGUUUGACAAUCGUUGCAUGAAAGGGAGAAAUUUGGAUUUAAGUUUUCAGAUAUCAGUUUAACGAAGAUUCAAUACAAACGAUUGUUGUUUCCUCUCAUAACAACUUAACGACAGUUCAAAUGUAACUCGUCUUUGUUUUCCGCUUAACCAUUUUGAACAACAGUUCUAUGUUUCUAUGUGUAAUUGUCGUCGUUUUACAAGUUUUUUAACGAUGAUCUAUAGCUUGAUUGUCAUUAUAUCUCAAUUCGUUACAUUGAACAAUGGUUCUUGACAUAAUCAUCC
rnacentral:lncRNA from 1 species